UAGUCCACGCCCUAAACGAUGAACACUAGGUUUUAGGAGGAAUCGACCCCUUUUAGAACCGUAAGCUAACGCAUUAAGUGUUCCGCCUGAGUAGUACGAGCGCAAGCUUAAAACUCAAAGGAAUAGACGGGGGCCUACACAAGCGGUGGAGCGUGUGGCUUAAUUCGAUGAUAAGCGGGAAACCUUACCAAGGCUUGACAUCCUUCGAAUCCACUAGAAAUAGAGGAGUGCCCUUCGGGGAGCGGAGUGACAGGCGCUGCAUGGUUGCCGUCAGCUCGUGUCGUGAGAUGUACAGUUAAUUCUGCUAACGAGCGCAACCUUUGUCCUGUGUUGUAUUUUUUCACUAGGAGACUGCCCGGGUAACUGGGAGGAAGGUAGAGAUGACGUCAAAUCAGCAUGGCUCUUACGCCUUGGGGCUGCACACGCGCUACAAUGGGUUGGUACAACAGGGAAUGGCAAUGUAGUAAUACGGAGCCAAUCCUUAUAAAACC
rnacentral:rRNA from 1 species